rnacentral:rRNA from 1 species
AUUGAACGCUGGCGGCAGGCCUAACACAUGCAAGUCGAACGGUAACAGGGAUCAGCUUGCUGAUUCGCUGACGAGUGGCGGACGGGUGAGUAAUGUCUGGGAAACUGCCUGAUGGAAGGGGAUAACUACUGGAAACGGUAGCUAAUACCGCAUAACGUCGCAAGACCAAAGAGGGGGACCUUCGGGCCUCUUGCCAUCGGAUGUGCCCAGAUGGGAUUAGCUAGUAGGUGGGGUAACGGCUCACCUAGGCGACGAUCCCUAGCUGGUCUGAGAGGAUGACCAGCCACACUGGAACUGAGACACGGUCCAGACUCCUACGGGAGGCAGCAGUGGGGAAUAUUGCACAAUGGGCGCAAGCCUGAUGCAGCCAUGCCGCGUGUAUGAAGAAGGCCUUCGGGUUGUAAAGUACUUUCAGCGGGGAGGAAGGGAGUAAAGUUAAUACCUUUGCUCAUUGACGUUACCCGCAGAAGAAGCACCGGCUAACUCCGUG